CCUCAGUUGACAGUCUCUUUCUGUCUUUGCUGAAUCCCUCAAUGGAUUCAGCCUGACUGAUCAUAAUGAGUUUGGGGACCUCGAACAUGGCUGGAUGUGCCCUGGGAACGGCCUUCUCUCUCUUGCUUCUUGUCUCUAUUAUACAAGGUAAUCCUAGACCACACACGCUGUUGCUCAUGUAAUGCACCAGCAACGAUGGGAUAUUCACCAUAAGUUUGAAAUGUCUUUUGGCUUCUGGUGUGAUCUGCCUGCAUCCCAGCGGACUGCAGUCUGUAUUGUCAAAUUCAAAGUGGAUUAUGUCUCCUCACUUUCCUUGUUUCCAAUGUGUGAUGUGCUUGACAGGGCUCCAGGAUGUUGAGGUGUUCCAUCAUGAAAAGUUGGAGGCAGUAGUUGGCCAGAACGUUACAUUGCCCUGUAUUAUCAAAGGCCGCAAUGAUCUCAAGAUCACAAGUAUUGAAUGGCGAAAGAACAAACAUGGAAACACAAAGCUGGCUGUGCACAGCACAGAAUAUGGAUUCAAUUUGCUCUGGCCUAAUGUCACGAUGGAGGUUGAGAAUACGUCGAUGGGCUCCUAUCUAAACCUUUAUGGGGUGUCAAAAUGGGAAAGUGGUGUCUAUAUUUGUGAUAUUUCAAGUUUUCCUCUGGGCAUCAUCAGGAGAGAAACAAAGCUGGAGAUCAAAGAUGAUCCUAAAAUAUUGUGCGACAUGGAUAGAAUUGUGAACGUCCAUAGUGGAGAAAAUGUGACCAUUCAAUGCAAAGCGUUCCCUGAUGCACAGUACAAGUGGACCAAGAACAAGACGCUGGUUUCAGAGAAUGAAUCUCUAGAGCUCUGGGGUGUGACUGAUGCUCACUCAGGGGUUUAUACUCUGACUGUCAACACGGGAAACACAAGUCUGCAUAAAGAGUUUAUCAUCACGGUGCUAACAGCAACCACGAGCUUAAGGACAGAUCUUUUGACAAUACCACAGUCUACUGUUACUGAGGAAGGUGUGAUCGAAGACCGCGGAUUCACCACAUCACCCACCACUGGGCUUUCAACCGUUGACAGCAAUGUAACUUGGACCAUGAAUAUGGCCACUGAUGUAACAGAUGAUAAUCCAAACUCCAGAAAUGUCACAGCUGUAGAGCAAAUGACCUCUUUAACAAAUUCUACACAUAUCAGUGUCACGUCAUCCCCUGUCACACACACUGACCACUAUCCCGCUAACAGCUCCACUGAUCAGGAGAUUAACCCCACUCACAAUUUAAACACAUCCAAGUUUUUUGACCAAACAGUGCCCGUCAAUCCAUCCACAACAUUAAGUUAUGUUAAUAAGGCAGUUCAGAUCAACACAGGAGACGAGGAAUGAGUCCUUGGGAGGCAAUCCUGGUGCAACCCCAACCCUGAGCCCUGGAAGUACAACGAUAGUCAUUGAGGGUGGAGGUAAGGAUUUCUUCAUAUUUCACAGUUGAUUGCUCCAUAAUGGCUGAUACUUGUUUUGCUCUCUUUCCCUCGUGUGAAUGGAACAUUUGAAGGAUAUAAUCUGUGACCAUUAUCUAUUUUACCACUCCAAAAAAAACCUUUAAGGAAGAAAAAACUAAAGUAUUAUGUGUUCAACAGUGCGUUACAUUAUGCAUUUCCAGUCUUGAACCAGAAACAUCUAAGAUCCCUUUGUUUGCCUGAAAUAGGCUUUUAGUGAUGCUCUCAGAUUGUUUUGGGCACAUUAUUUGCUUUGGGGUCUGCCAACAGUGUGGUUAGCUUUUUUGUGACAACCGAGACGAGGUGAGCUGCAGCAGUGUCGGAAAGUAAAACAGAAGUGUUUAAAAGCAGCACAUGACUACAGACAACAGAGUUAAAAGCUCAUCUUAAAAACAAAAUAUGAUGUACUGCAGCAGUUUCUUCACCUUCACAAUCUGCACCUUCAUCACAUGUGGAGGCAGUUUUCUCAGCCUCGGGCAAGAUGCCUUCUCAAGGUAGGAAUCUAAUUAAAAGCAGAGUAAACUUCUAAAAUGCAGGACAGCUGAGGGGGAGGACGGCAAGACACACUUUUCUGCCUCAAAGCAAAAAGUUCUAUUAUCAAUAUUUUUUGGAGUCUGCAGGGUUUCACCAAAAGCAAGAUGAUCAAUAUCUUAGAAACACAUCUUUAGCUGUCCUCCAAAAUGACACUUUUCCCUUCUCUGAAUUUACUUUGCAGUUUCUGGUGGUGUACGGAGUCGUCUGUUGUUGCCGUUAAUCAUUGCUCCAAUCCUGCUUCUGAUCGCUGUGGUGGGCUUUCUCUACAGGAGAAAAAUGAUAAAGGAGAGGUAAAUCUCUCAUUAUCUAUCCAUGCAACCUCUACUUCCUCUGCAUCCUCUAUGGGUGAUGCAUUGGGUGAACCCAAUCACUCUCCUACUUUCUGACAGAAGCACAAUACAGCUAACUUUCUAGCAAUGCCACCAGUUAAUAAGUGUGCUCUCCCUCUCUCUCUCUCUCUCUCUCUCUCUCUCUCUCUCUCUCUCUCUCUCUCUCUCUCUCGCUCGCUCUCUCUCGCUCUCGCUCUCUCUCUUUCUCUUUCUCUCUCUCCCUCCAGUAUGGAUCAACCGCCUCCGUUCAAACCCCCUCCUCCUCCAGUCAAGUAUACAGCUGCAAGACACCAUGAGAUUUCAACACAGCCUUUCCCGACUUCAAGGUGUAACUCAGUGAUAGAACUAAAAGAUAUGAAACAAAAGUGUAUUAGUGUAUAAUGCCUGCUAUAUUGCACAAUGACGGUUUGAAAGAUUGCAUGCAGUGCUUGCGUGAUAUAGUGUAAACUGUAUCCUAUCUUGGGUACAUGCAGAAUUACAAAGUGUAUUGAUUGCAGUUGCAGUUGUUACGACGCGAUUGCAGGUAAUUGUAACAAUGUGGGCUGUGUGUAUAUCUUGGGUGGGUUCUGUGCUAUUGUAUAUAAAAUGGCUUUAUUUUUUAGAUGUAAUGUGUUUGCCAUAACGUUUCUAACAUUUGAAAAUAAAAGCUGGUUUAUUUUGACUCUGAAUUGACUUUGAGCACUGCACUUACAUUCUU
ensembl:lncRNA CD96 molecule